rnacentral:rRNA from 1 species
GGCCUUUUGAAAAUAAUUUAAGGUCUAGCCUGCCCACUGAGUAUUUAAAGGGCCGCGGUAUCCUGACCGUGCUAAGGUAGCAUAAUCAUUAGUUUUUUAAUUGAAAGCUGGAAUGAAUGGUUGGAUGAGAAAAAAGCUGUCUCUAAUUAAUUUUUGAUGAAUUUUAUUUUUAAGUUAAAAAGCUUAAAUAUUUUUAAAAGACGAGAAGACCCUAUAGAGUUUUAUAUUUUGAUUAGUUAAUUUUUUUUUAGAAUUUUAGGAAAUUAAUUAGUUGAAUUAUUUGAUUGGGGUGAUUGAAAAAUAAGGAAAACUUUUUUGAUUUAAGAACAUUAAUUUAUGGAAAUUUGAUCCGUGUAAGCGAUUUUUAGAAUAAAUUACCUUAGGGAUAACAGCGUAAUUUUUUUUGAGAGUUCAUAUCGACAGAAAAGUUUGCGACCUCGAUGUUGGAUUAAAAUUAAUUUUUGGUGUAGAAGCUAGAAAUAUUGGGUCUGUUCGACCCUUAAAAUUUUACAUGA